CGUUGUUAGCCGAUGGCACUUGACUGGGGGUCAAGGGGUCGUCGGUUCGAAUCCGGCCACUCCGACCA
rnacentral:tRNA from 1 species